UACGGAGGGUGCAAACGUUGCUCGGAAUCAUUGGGCGUAAAGCGCACGUAGGCGGACCAUCAAGUCGGAUGUGAAAUCCCUCGGCUUAACCGAGGACGUGCAUUCGAAACUGAUGGCCUUGAGUACGAAAGAGGAUCGCGGAAUUCCCGGUGUAGAGGUGAAAUUCGUAGAUAUCGGGAGGAACACCAGUGGCGAAGGCGGCUCACUGGCCCGAUACUGACGCUGAGGCACGAAAGCGUGGGGGAGCAAACAGG
rnacentral:rRNA from 1 species